rnacentral:lncRNA from 1 species
AUUCAAUCCAUCGGAUAUUCGAUUCAAAUGAUAGAUUUAAAUAUUUAGAUACGAAUCGAAUAGUUAUCUAUUUUUAUUCAUAUUUAUUUUUUUAAUUAUUAUUAAUAUAAAUAUAAUAUUAAUUAAAUUUUUAAAUUUUUAUUUAUAUUUUAAUUAAUUUAAAUAUAAAAAUAAAUAUAAUAGAUGCUAUCUAUACCAUUUUCAUCCCUAAUAAAGACCCAGCAAAAGAUGGAGUCAACGGUCAACCACUUGGAUGGC